rnacentral:rRNA from 1 species
GAUGAACGCUGGCGGCGUGCCUAAUACAUGCAAGUCGAGCGAAUGAUGAGGAGCUUGCUCCUCUGAUUUAGCGGCGGACGGGUGAGUAACACGUGGGUAACCUGCCUGUAAGAUGGGGAUAACUCCGGGAAACCGGGGCUAAUACCGAAUAAUAAAAGAGGAAGCAUUUCUUCUUUUUGAAAGUUGGUUUCGGCUAACACUUACAGAUGGGCCCGCGGCGCAUUAGCUAGUUGGUGAGGUAACGGCUCACCAAGGCGACGAUGCGUAGCCGACCUGGGAGGGUGAUCGGCCACACUGGGACUGAGACACGGCCCGGACUCCUACGGGAGGCAGCAGUAGGGAAUCUUCGGCAAUGGGCGAAAGCCUGACCGAGCAACGCCGCGUGAGCGAGGAAGGCCUUCGGGUCGUAAAGCUCUGUUGUCAGGGAAGAACAAGUACGAGAGUAACUGCUCGUACCUUGACGGUACCUGACCAGAAAGCCACGGCUAACUACGUGCCAGCAGCCGCGGUAA